GUGAAAAGGAAGUCGUUCUGGUCCACAGCAGGGCUAACAGUUCACAAUAUUUGUGUGCCCACCCUCCUUUUCUGCUGCACUCGAGAACCUGGAAAGAGAAGCAAACCUUCAUCCAUCUUUUUAAAGAAUCCUGGUCUAACUGAUACAAAGGUACAAAAUGAAUCCAUGCUUGGUGGGGACAUACAACUGUAAUCUAAGAGGUAGUGAAACAGCCGGGCGUGGUGGCACACGCCUUUAAUCCCAGCACUUGGGAGGCAGAGAAGUUCUUAAAAAGUGAGAGGGUUGGAAAGAUGGCUUAAAGAGAAAGGCAUUUGCCCCCGGUCUGGCAUCUGGCAGGUAACCUGGAUUCCAUCUCGAUGGCCCACGACCAGCUCCUCCAAGUUGUCCUGGAAUCUUCAAUCACACAACUGUGAAAUUUACCAACACACACACACACACACACACACACACACACACAUAUUCUCUCUCUCUCUCUCUCUCUCUCUCUCUCAAAAUGUAAAUUAUUUUGUAUUUUAUGUAUGCUGGUGCCUUGCCUGCAUGUGUAAGGGAGUCAGAUCCCCUGGAACAGGAGUUACAGACAGUUUCGAACUGUCUUGUAGGUACUUGGAGCUUAACUCCAGUCCACUGGAAGAGUGGCCAGUGCCCUUAACCACUAAACCAUUUCUCCAGGCCCUGCAAAUGUAAUUUUAAAGAAAAAAAAAUUGUUUAAAG
rnacentral:lncRNA from 1 species